AGUGAACGCUGGCGGUAGGCCUAACACAUGCAAGUCGAACGGCAGCACAGUAAGAGCUUGCUCUUACGGGUGGCGAGUGGCGGACGGGUGAGGAAUACAUCGGAAUCUACUUUUUCGUGGGGGAUAACGUAGGGAAACUUACGCUAAUACCGCAUACGACCUACGGGUGAAAGCAGGGGAUCCUCGGACCUUGCGCGAUUGAAUGAGCCGAUGUCGGAUUAGCUAGUUGGCGGGGUAAAGGCCCACCAAGGCGACGAUCCGUAGCUGGUCUGAGAGGAUGAUCAGCCACACUGGAACUGAGACACGGUCCAGACUCCUACGGGAGACAGCAGUGGGGAAUAUUGGACAAUGGGCGCAAGCCUGAUCCAGCCAUACCGCGUGGGUGAAGAAGGCCUUCGGGUUGUAAAGCCCUUUUGUUGGGAAAGAAAAGCAGCAGGUUAAUACCCCGCUGUUCUGACGGUACCCAAAGAAUAAGCACCGGCUAACUUCGUG
rnacentral:rRNA from 1 species